rnacentral:rRNA from 1 species
GAUGAACGCUAGCGGCAGGCUUAAUACAUGCAAGUCGAACGGGAUUUAGGGGCUUGCCCUUAAUGAGAGUGGCGCACGGGUGAGUAACACGUACACAAUCUACCUUGUACAGGGGGAUAGCCUUGGGAAACUGAGAAUAAUACCCCAUAGUUUUUAGUUAUCGCAUGAUGAUUAAAAUAAAGCUGAGGCGGUACAAGAUGAGUGUGCGGAUGAUUAGGUAGUUGGAAGGGUAACGGCCUCCCAAGCCGACGAUCAAUAGCUGGCGUGAGAGCGCGACCAGCCACACUGGAACUGAGACACGGUCCAGACUCCUACGGGAGGCAGCAGUAGGGAAUAUUGGACAAUGGGCGGAAGCCUGAUCCAGCCAUGCCGCGUGGAGGAUUAAGGCCCUCUGGGUUGUAAACUUC